rnacentral:lncRNA from 1 species
AUGCUGAAGUCCAGUCUGAGUUGGCAAGACGGGAAAACUUUACCUAAAGAUCCAAUGCCUCAUGCUGUCAUGAAUUCCUGCUACCAGCAGGUGCCGGUGGAUGAGGCUGGUCAGAAACGUGCGGAGCUUUCCUGUAUUCGAGGAAGAUGGGCUGAGCAGAUUACAAACUCACCUGAGGACUCAGGCACUGCUGCCUUCCUGCUGCUCUCCUCUGCCAGCCAGCCCUGUCUGUCCAACGAGCCAUGAAGGAGGUAUCAUCUUUCAUGUGCUGAGGAAGCUGCUCCAGCAUUUUGGUAGAUCACUCACCAAUAUGCAUCUUUGUGUUGUCCAACAAUAACACACAAAAAACCCAUGCGGCCACAAGCUGUCUAAAAUUAAUGAAGUAUAGAUUCUUCCCCCAUCAUAAUAUGUAAUGGAAUUAUGAAAUUGCUUUUACUCAUUUAUUUAAUGACAGUAAAGUUUAUAAAUCAAAGCCUAAUCCAAUGUGUUGUCUAUUUGUUUCCUUUGUGAACUUUCAUGAAUCUUGCAGUCACUCCUGCAGCUGGGAAGACAUAUUAGCAUGGAAUGUAGCCCCUUCUUGGCAUUUUCAGUCAGAGUUAGUUUAACCUUAGAAAUUUAGAGCUGAUGCAGAAUCUAGGGGAAAUAUAAUGAGGAUUACAUUAGAAGCAGAGAUGUGCUUUCCCAGGCCUCUCUAAUCAUGUCAGCUUGAAAUAGCGUGGUAGGCAAUAAGUAGCAGUGGUUUAAUGUGGCUGCUUUCCCUUCUCAUGUUGCUUUCUGAAAGGAGACACAGCCCUACCCUUGGAUAACUUCUGGCUCCAGCGCAUUCAAUCACCGAACAAGACUCCUGCCUGGGGCGUCUACUGCUUCCUCUGCCCUUUUCUGCUACUGCAUCAGCAUAGAGAGCUUUGCAUAAUGUUUUUCUUUUGAUGGGAUGUACGAUGUUAGGACAGAGUUGUGUUUGUGGAGGGAUUUUAGCUAAUGAGUCUUUACAACACAUCUGUCUCUCCUGUUCAGAGAGAAAGCCUUGACUUGCACUAGGAUGAAUUGACUGCUGAGGUAAGUGGCCAUAAGAGGGUGAAAGUGGACAUGACCAAGUGUCCCUCUCCCUUGGACAGUCACAGCAGGCCCCCCCCUAGAUUUUAGCAUCUAGCCCUAGAAAAGCCACUGCAUUGUGGAUUUAUGCCAGAUGUGAAUAUCAUGUUGCUCAGUCUUCCCACCAUUUCUGUGUUUUGUUUUUCCUGUUUUU